CAAAAGAUUGUAGAAAAAGAAAAAAGUUUGCCCUUUUCUCCUCCUCAAGAGCUCUGGACACCUUUUUCCUCAAGAGUCCAGGACUCUAUCAAUCUUACUAAGAAUUAACUCUCUCACAACUUUGUUAGUACUCACAGAACCAGCAGUAAGAGCCAAGUAGAGAGAUGGGGAAAUACAGUUGCCAUUUUUUGAGUCUCUAGGCAUUCUGCGAUUCAUGGGGUUGCAAAGAGUUGGACACGACUGAGCGACUGAACUGAACUGAGACUCUUCAGAAGGAAGUAAUACCUUUGGAUUAUUUAUUUUCUUAAGAGCCUAUGAAUUUCCAAUUAUUCUUAAAGCAGUAUAAAUUGGGUUUUAGGACUUUUCUAUGGAUGGAGAAAUUUUGGAUUAGCCAAGUUGUUCAACAUUUUAAUCAAAUCAAAGAGCAAGAGAAAGUGUUCUUGUCACUGAUGACAGCCGUUGUGACUUACUGGAAUCACCUUGAGGUAAACCAGAUUGUUCUGCACUCAACAAACAAUAUUCAAUAGAAGCCUACCAGGCCCCCCUGCUGACCAAAGAGUAAAAUCAUGAACUAUUACAUACUGGCCUGUGGGGAGAACCACUUAGAUUUCUCAUUGCUGCUGCUGCUGCUAAGUUGCUUCAGUCAUGUCCGACUCUGUGCGACCCCAUGGACUGCAGCCUACCAUAGGCUUCUCCAUCCAUGGGAUUCUCCAGGCAAGAACUCUGGGGUGGGCUGCCAUUUCCUUCUCCAAUAGAUUUCUUAUUAAGCUCCCUUAAAUAACAAUGUCAACAACAACAAACAAACACUGUGCCAAGUUUUAAGGUGCACCAGGAUGGCUGCUGUCUUUAUUUCAAAGAAGAGAAAGAAAAUUUUAUGUGUGCAAUUAAAUAUGUCAAGAUUUUAUCUAAAACUUUAAUGUCAUUGUACAAUAUAUUAUUGUCUAUAAUUCAUUGAACUGCACAAUAAAACAUGUGAGAAUUUUCUGAAA